UUGCGAUGGUCCCUGCGGAUGC
rnacentral:sRNA from 1 species